rnacentral:rRNA from 1 species
GAUGAACGCUGGCGGCGUGCCUAAUACAUGCAAGUCGAGCGAACAGACGAGGAGCUUGCUCCUCUGACGUUAGCGGAGGACGGGUGAGUAACACGUGGAUAACCUACCUAUAAGACUGGGAUAACUUCGGGAAACCGGAGCUAAUACCGGAUAAUAUAUUGAACCGCAUGGUUCAAUAGUGAAAGACGGUUUUGCUGUCACUUAUAGAUGGAUCCGCGCCGCAUUAGCUAGUUGGUAAGGUAACGGCUUACCAAGGCAACGAUGCGUAGCCGACCUGAGAGGGUGAUCGGCCACCCGGGAACUGGGACACGGUCCAGACUCCUACGGGAGGCAGCAGUAGCGAAUCUUCCGCAAUGGGCGAAAGCCUGACGGAGCAACGCCGCGUGAGUGAUGAAGGUCUUCGGAUCGUAAAACUCUGUUAUUAGGGAAGAACAAAUGUGUAAGUAACUAUGCACGUCUUGACGGUACCUAAUCAGAAAGCCACGGCUAACUACGUG